rnacentral:rRNA from 1 species
GUAGUUACUGGCGUCAGGAGUGAACGACUAGCUACAGGCGUUAACACAUGCAAGUCGAGGGCGAGCAUGAAGUUUGCUUGCAAACUUGAUGGCGACCGGCGCACGGGUGAGUAACGCGUAUCCAACCUUCCCCUUAGUAGGGGAUAGCCCGGCGAAAGUCGGAUUAAUACCCUAUGUUUUCCAAUGCAGACAUCUAAAAUGGAACAAAGGUUUACCGCUAAGGGAUGGGGAUGCGUCUGAUUAGGCAGCAGGCGGGUAACGGCCCACCUGGCCCACGAUCAGUAGGGGUUCUGAGAGGAAGGUCCCCCACAUUGGAACUGAGACACGGUCCAAACUCCUACGGGAGGCAGCAGUGAGGAAUAUUGGUCAAUGGUCGCGAGACUGAACCAGCCAAGUAGCGUGCAGGAAGACGGCCCUAUGGGUUGUAAACUGCUUUUAUGCGGGGAUAAAGUCUCCUACGUGUAGGGGUUUGCAGGUACCGCAUGAAUAAGGACCGGCUAAUUCCGUGCCAGCAGCCGC